GAUUCGCGGGCGAAAGAACUGUCGUCGCCUACUUGGCGCCUACCUAAAACGACACUUCCGCCUUCCUCUAUAGCCGGCACCAUCGACGGACACCUUCAAGGAUGGUCUAUGUAAGGAGAUUCUUCUUCUUGAUGAACAAUCCAUAAACAGCAGAAACAUGGAACAGCAGAUCCACCAGCCUGCAGCUGAUGCCUUGACAGUUUGAACAAGCCAGGUUGGAAAGUGA